rnacentral:rRNA from 1 species
UACAUGUGGGGCAAGCGUUGUUCGGAAUUACUGGGCAUAAAGGGUGCGUAGGUGGUUUGUUAAGUCAGAGGUGAAAUCCCAAGGCUCAACCUUGGAACUGCCUUUGAUACUGGGGAUCUUGAGUCCGGGAGAGGUGAGUGGAACUGCGAGUGUAGAGGUGAAAUUCGUAGAUAUUCGCAAGAACACCAGUGGCGAAGGCGGCUCACUGGCCCGGUACUGACGCUGAGGUGCGAAAGCGUGGGGAGCAAACAGG